AUUGAACGCUGGCGGCAGGCCUAACACAUGCAAGUCGAGCGGUAGAGAGGUGCUUGCAUCUCUUGAGAGCGGCGGACGGGUGAGUAAUGCCUAGGAAUCUGGCCUGGUGGUGGGGGAUAAACGUUCGGAAACGGACGCUAAUACCGCAUACGUCCUACGGGAGAAAGCGGGGGAUCUUCGGGACCUCGCGCCAUUAGAUGAGCCUAGGUCGGAUUAGCUAGUUGGUGAGGUAAUGGCUCGACCAAGGCGACGAUCCGUAACUGGUCUGAGAGGAUGAUCAGUCACACUGGAACUGAGACACGGUCCAGGA
rnacentral:rRNA from 1 species